UACAGAGGUCCCAAGCGUUGUUCGGAUUUACUGGGCGUAAAGGGUGCGUAGGUGGGCAGGUAAGUCAGUGGUGAAAUCUCCGAGCUUAACUCGGAAACUGCCGUUGAUACUAUUUGUCUUGAAUAUUGUGGAGGUAAGCGGAAUAUGUCAUGUAGCGGUGAAAUGCUUAGAUAUGACAUAGAACACCAAUUGCGAAGGCAGCUUACUACACAACGAUUGACGCUGAGGCACGAAAGCGUGGGGAUCAAACAGG
rnacentral:rRNA from 1 species